rnacentral:rRNA from 1 species
CUGACCUCAGAUCAGGCAAGAGCACC